rnacentral:ncRNA from 1 species
UAAAUUACGAUGAUAAGGACUAGUAAAAAAGCAGAAGGAAGCAGAGAGUUGACGGAUGGUGCAAGUCAACCCCAAACCUUUUUGAACUCGCCUUGUAGUUGCGGAAGUGAACAUUUGUAGCUUCUGUCGUGCAACCCGCGUUAAGGGUCCAAUGAGAGAGCGUGGCACGUUUGCACGCUAAUGUGGGUGGUACCGCGGCAGGUUAAUAAGUAUACACAACCUUUCGUCCCUGAA